rnacentral:rRNA from 1 species
UACGUAGGGUGCAAGCGUUGUCCGGAAUUACUGGGCGUAAAGAGCUCGUAGGCGGUUUGUCGCGUCGUCUGUGAAAUCCCGCAGCUCAACUGCGGGCUUGCAGGCGAUACGGGCAGACUUGAGUACUGCAGGGGAGACUGGAAUUCCUGGUGUAGCGGUGAAAUGCGCAGAUAUCAAGAGGAACACCUGCGGCGAAGGCGGGUUGCUGGGCCGACACUGACGCUGAUGCGCGAAAGCUAGGGGAGCGAACGGG